GAGUUUGAUCCUGGCUCAGAUUGAACGCUGGCGGCAUGCUUUACACAUGCGAGUCGAACGGGGUGGUGGGGCAACCUGCCAUUCAGUGGCGAACGGGUGAGUAAUGCAUCGGAACGUGUCCCGUAGUGGGGGAUAACGCCGCGAAAGCGGCGCUAAUACCGCAUACGCUCUACGGAGGAAAGCAGGGGAUCGCAAGACCUUGUGCUAGGGGAGCGGCCGAUGUCCGAUUAGCUAGUUGGCGGGGUAAUGGCCCACCAAGGCAGUGACGGGUAGCUGGUCUGAGAGGAUGGCCAGCCACAUUGGGACUGAGAGACGGCCCAGACUCCUACGGGAGGCAGCAGUGGGGAAUCUUGCGCAAUGGCCGAAAGGCUGACGCAGCGACGCCGCGUGGGGGAGGAAGGGCUUCGGCUCGUAAACCCCUGUUGCCCGGGGCGAACCUCUGGUUUCGACCAGACUGACGGUACCGGGUGAGGAAGCACCGGCUAACUCCGUGCCAGCAGCCGCGGUAAUACGGAGGGUGCGAGCGUUGUCCGGAAUCACUGGGCGUAAAGGGCGCGUAGGCGGCCGAGCAAGGUCGCGGUGAAAGCCCGGGGCUCAACCCCGGGUCGGCCGUGGCAACUACUUGGCUGGAGCACUGUAGGGGCGGGUGGAAUUCCGGGUGUAGCGGUGGAAUGCGUAGAGAUCCGGAAGAACACCGGUGGCGAA
rnacentral:rRNA from 1 species